UGCUGGAGGUAUCAGAAGUGCGAAUGCUGACAUAAGUAACGAUAAAGCGGGUGAAAAGCCCGCUCGCCGGAAGACCAAGGGUUCCUGUCCAACGUUAAUCGGGGCAGGGUGAGUCGACCCCUAAGGCGAGGCCGAAAGGCGUAGUCGAUGGGAAACGGGUUAAUAUUCCCGUACUUGGUGUUACUGCGAAGGGGGGACGGAGAAGGCUAUGUUGGCCGGGCGACGGUUGUCCCGGUUUAAGCGUGUAGGCUGGUUUUCCAGGCAAAUCCGGAAAAUCAAGGCUGAGGCGUGAUGACGAGGCACUACGGUGCUGAAGCAACAAAUGCCCUGCUUCCAGGAAAAGCCUCUAAGCAUCAGGUAACAUCAAAUCGUACCCCAAACCGACACAGGUGGUCAGGUAGAGAAUACCAAGGCGCUUGAGAGAACUCGGGUGAAGGAACUAGGCAAAAUGGUGCCGUAACUUCGGGAGAAGGCACGCUGACACGUAGGUGAAGUGAUUUACUCAUGGAGCUGAAGUCAGUCGAAGAUACCAGCUGGCUGCAACUGUUUAUUAAAAACACAGCACUGUGCAAACACGAAAGUGGACGUAUACGGUGUGACGCCUGCCCGGUGCCGGAAGGUUAAUUGAUGGGGUCAGCGCAAGCGAAGCUCCUGAUCGAAGCCCCGGUAAACGGCGGCCGUAACUAUAACGGUCCUAAGGUAGCGAAAUUCCUUGUCGGGUAAGUUCCGACCUGCACGAAUGGCGUAAUGAUGGCCAGGCUGUCUCCACCCGAGACUCAGUGAAAUUGAACUCGCUGUGAAGAUGCAGUGUACCCGCGGCAAGACGGAAAGACCCCGUGAACCUUUACUAUAGCUUGACACUGAACAUUGAGCCUUGAUGUGUAGGAUAGGUGGGAGGCUUUGAAGCGUGGACGCCAGUCUGCGUGGAGCCGACCUUGAAAUACCACCCUUUAAUGUUUGAUGUUCUAACGUGGAYCCGUAAUCCGGGUUGCGGACAGUGUCUGGUGGGUAGUUUGACUGGGGCGGUCUCCUCCUAAAGAGUAACGGAGGAGCACGAAGGUUGGCUAAUCCUGGUCGGACAUCAGGAGGUUAGUGCAAUGGCAUAAGCCAGCUUGACUGCGAGCGUGACGGCGCGAGCAGGUGCGAAAGCAGGUCAUAGUGAUCCGGUGGUUCUGAAUGGAAGGGCCAUCGCUCAACGGAUAAAAGGUACUCCGG
rnacentral:rRNA from 1 species